rnacentral:lncRNA from 1 species
CUGGCACUUGUCUUCUAAGAACAGUAAUAGGAGCAAAAUUUGCUACCUGUUGAAGCAAUUUUCCUGUUCUGACAGAUUAGUCCUGAAGUAUGCUGUUCCUUCUUUUAAAUAGAAGAAAGUAAAGGAUGAUGCUGCCACACCAGAUCAAGCUACAGACAGAAGAAUCAGGAAUAUGCAGGGAAUUCAGAGAUGCUGCUUGGAAUUAUUUCUUGGGUUGCACAGGGAAGGAGAUGUCUCUAGGUGUUUUUCUGUGGAAAGUCCACCCAGAUUUUCUUCUUAUGGAAUGAAAAGAUGUGCAUCACCAAUGAAAGGAUUCCACACUUUUUCCAUCAUGUGCAGGCAAUAAAAGUUAUUAGGAGGACACUUGUUAGUUCUGUAUUGUCAGAGUGACCACAGACCAACCUUCAGCAUCCC